rnacentral:rRNA from 1 species
GAACAAACGCUGGCGGCGUGCCUAACACAUGCAAGUCGAACGCGAAAAUCGGCUUCGGCCGAUGAGUAAAGUGGCGCACGGGUGAGUAACGCGUGGAUAAUCUACCCUUCAGUUGGGAAUAACUUAUCGAAAGGUGAGCUAAUACCGAAUAAAACUGCCUGACCACGGUCGGGUAGUCAAAGAUAGCCUCUGCUUGCAAGCUUUCGCUGAAUGAUGAGUCCGCGUACCAUUAGCUAGUUGGUGGGGUAAUGGCCUACCAAGGCGACGAUGGUUAGCUGGUCUGAGAGGAUGAUCAGCCACACUGGAACUGAGACACGGUCCAGACUCCUACGGGAGGCAGCAGUGAGGAAUCUUGCGCAAUGGGGGAAACCCUGACGCAGCAACGCCGCGUGAGUGAGGAAGGUCUUCGGAUCGUAAAGCUCUGUCGGGUGGAAAGAAAUGUAUGGGGUUAAUAGCCUUCAUACUUGACGGUACCACCAAAGGAAGCACCGGCUAACUCCGUG